CAAAGGGAAAUGGCUCGCUAAUACCGGAUGUGCCUGGGGGGUGAAAGAUUUAUUGCCUGAAGAAGAGCUCGCGUCAGAUUAGCUAGUAGGUGGUGUAAAGGACUACCUAGGCGACGAUCUGUAGCUGGUCUGAGAGGACGAUCAGCCACACUGGAACUGAGACACGGUCCAGACUCCUACGGGAGGCAGCAGUGGGGAAUUUUCCGCAAUGGGCGAAAGCCUGACGGAGCAAUACCGCGUGAGGGACGAAGGCUCUUGGGUCGUAAACCUCUUUUCUCAAGGAAGAUAGUGACGGUACUUGAGGAAUAAGCAUCGGCUAACUCUGUGCCAGCAGCCGCGGUAAUACAGAGGAUGCAAGCGUUAUCCGGAAUGAUUGGGCGUAAAGCGUCCGCAGGUGGUUUUGUAAGUCUGCUGUUAAAGCGUUAGGCUCAACCUAAUAAGGGCAGUGGAAACUAUGAGACUAGAGUAUGUUAGGGGUAGAGGGAAUUCCCAGUGUAGCGGUGAAAUGCGUAGAGAUUGGGAAGAACACCGGUGGCGAAAGCGCUCUGCUAGGACAAUACUGACACUGAGGGACCAAAGCUAGGGGGAGCGAAUGGGAUUAAUAACCCCCCGUUAUCCAGC
rnacentral:rRNA from 1 species